rnacentral:tRNA from 1 species
GUUAAUAAUAAAAUUGAAAUUCUCCAAUUAAAGAAAUGUUCAAGAAAAG